UACGGCCAUAUAGCGUUGAAACACCGGUUCCCGUACGAUUACCGAAGUUAAGCAACGUCGAGUCAGUAUCUGGAUGGGUGACCAGUUGAAAAUACCAGGUGGUGUAA